AAUAGAUACCCGGGUAGUCCACGCCGUAAACGAUGAGUGCUAAGUGUUAGGGGGUUUCCGCCCCUUAGUGCUGCAGCUAACGCAUUAAGCACUCCGCCUGGGGAGUACGGUCGCAAGACUGAAACUCAAAGGAAUUGACGGGGGCCCGCACAAGCGGUGGAGCAUGUGGUUUAAUUCGAAGCAACGCGAAGAACCUUACCAGGUCUUGACAUCCCAUUGACCGCUAUGGAGACAUAGCUUUCCCUUCGGGGACAGUGGUGACAGGUGGUGCAUGGUUGUCGUCAGCUCGUGUCGUGAGAUGUUGGGUUAAGUCCCGCAACGAGCGCAACCCUUGUUCUUAGUUGCCAUCAUUUAGUUGGGCACUCUAAGGAGACUGCCGGUGACAAACCGGAGGAAGGUGGGGAUGAUGUCAAAUCAUCAUGCCCCUUAUGACCUGGGCUACACACGUGCUACAAUGGACGGUACAAACGGUUGCCAACCCGCGAGGGGAGCUAAUCCGAUAAAACCGUUCUCAGUUCGGAUUGUAGGCUGCAACUCGCCUAC
rnacentral:rRNA from 1 species